GGGUUGUGAGGUUAAGCGACUAAGCGUACACGGUGGAUGCCCUGGCAGUCAGAGGCGAUGAAGGGCGUGCUAAUCUGCGAUAAGCGCCGGUAAGGUGAUAUGAACCGUUAUAACCGGCGAUACCCGAAUGGGGAAACCCAGUGUGAUUCGUCACACUAUCAUUAACUGAAUCCAUAGGUUAAUGAGGCGAACCGGGGGAACUGAAACAUCUAAGUACCCCGAGGAAAAGAAAUCAACCGAGAUUCCCCCAGUAGCGGCGAGCGAACGGGGAGGAGCCCAGAGCCUGAAUCAGCAUGUGUGUUAGUGGAAGCGUCUGGAAAGGCGCGCGAUACAGGGUGACAGCCCCGUACACAAAAGCGCAUGUGCUGUGAGCUCGAUGAGUAGGGCGGGACACGUGGUAUCCUGUCUGAAUAUGGGGGGACCAUCCUCCAAGGCUAAAUACUCCUGACUGACCGAUAGUGAACCAGUACCGUGAGGGAAAGGCGAAAAGAACCCCGGCGAGGGGAGUGAAAAAGAACCUGAAACCGUGUACGUACAAGCAGUGGGAGCACCCUUCGGGGUGUGACUGCGUACCUUUUGUAUAAUGGGUCAGCGACUUAUAUUCUGUAGCAAGGUUAACCGUAUAGGGGAGCCGGAGGGAAACCGAGUCUUAACCGGGCGUUAAGUUGCAGGGUAUAGACCCGAAACCCGGUGAUCUAGCCAUGGGCAGGUUGAAGGUUGGGUAACACUAACUGGAGGACCGAACCGACUAAUGUUGAAAAAUUAGCGGAUGACCUGUGGCUGGGGGUGAAAGGCCAAUCAAACCGGGAGAUAGCUGGUUCUCCCCGAAAGCUAUUUAGGUAGCGCCUCGUGAAUUCAUCUCCGGGGGUAGAGCACUGUUUCGGCUAGGGGGCCAUCCCGGCUUACCAACCCGAUGCAAACUGCGAAUACCGGAGAAUGUUAUCACGGGAGACACACGGCGGGUGCUAACGUCCGUCGUGAAGAGGGAAACAACCCAGACCGCCAGCUAAGGUCCCAAAGUCAUGGUUAAGUGGGAAACGAUGUGGGAAGGCCCAGACAGCCAGGAUGUUGGCUUAGAAGCAGCCAUCAUUUAAAGAAAGCGUAAUAGCUCACUGGUCGAGUCGGCCUGCGCGGAAGAUGUAACGGGGCUAAACCAUGCACCGAAGCUGCGGCAGCGAACGUAUCACCCAAGACAACUUUACGGAGUUGACGAUUGACGGAGCGAAGCGACGUCAAAGCGUUCAUUAAAGUCGAGUUGGCUUAGGGAUACGUUCGUUGGGUAGGGGAGCGUUCUGUAAGCCUGUGAAGGUGUGUCGUGAGGCAUGCUGGAGGUAUCAGAAGUGCGAAUGCUGACAUAAGUAACGAUAAAGCGGGUGAAAAGCCCGCUCGCCGGAAGACCAAGGGUUCCUGUCCAACGUUAAUCGGGGCAGGGUGAGUCGACCCCUAAGGCGAGGCCGAAAGGCGUAGUCGAUGGGAAACGGGUUAAUAUUCCCGUACUUGGUGUUACUGCGAAGGGGGGACGGAGAAGGCUAUGUUGGCCGGGCGACGGUUGUCCCGGUUUAAGCGUGUAGGUGUGUGUUCCAGGUAAAUCCGGUUCACUUUAACACUGAGGCGUGACGACGAGGCACUACGGUGCUGAAGCAACAAAUGCCCUGCUUCCAGGAAAAGCCUCUAAGCAUCAGGUAACACGAAAUCGUACCCCAAACCGACACAGGUGGUCAGGUAGAGAAUACCAAGGCGCUUGAGAGAACUCGGGUGAAGGAACUAGGCAAAAUGGUGCCGUAACUUCGGGAGAAGGCACGCUGACACGUAGGUGAAGUGAUUUACUCAUGGAGCUGAAGUCAGUCGAAGAUACCAGCUGGCUGCAACUGUUUAUUAAAAACACAGCACUGUGCAAACACGAAAGUGGACGUAUACGGUGUGACGCCUGCCCGGUGCCGGAAGGUUAAUUGAUGGGGUCAGCGCAAGCGAAGCUCCUGAUCGAAGCCCCGGUAAACGGCGGCCGUAACUAUAACGGUCCUAAGGUAGCGAAAUUCCUUGUCGGGUAAGUUCCGACCUGCACGAAUGGCGUAAUGAUGGCCAGGCUGUCUCCACCCGAGACUCAGUGAAAUUGAACUCGCUGUGAAGAUGCAGUGUACCCGCGGCAAGACGGAAAGACCCCGUGAACCUUUACUAUAGCUUGACACUGAACAUUGAGCCUUGAUGUGUAGGAUAGGUGGGAGGCUUUGAAGUGUGGACGCCAGUCUGCAUGGAGCCGACCUUGAAAUACCACCCUUUAAUGUUUGAUGUUCUAACGUGGACCCGUUACCCGGGUUGCGGACAGUGUCUGGUGGGUAGUUUGACUGGGGCGGUCUCCUCCUAAAGAGUAACGGAGGAGCACGAAGGUUGGCUAAUCCUGGUCGGACAUCAGGAGGUUAGUGCAAUGGCAUAAGCCAGCUUGACUGCGAGCGUGACGGCGCGAGCAGGUGCGAAAGCAGGUCAUAGUGAUCCGGUGGUUCUGAAUGGAAGGGCCAUCGCUCAACGGAUAAAAGGUACUCCGGGGAUAACAGGCUGAUACCGCCCAAGAGUUCAUAUCGACGGCGGUGUUUGGCACCUCGAUGUCGGCUCAUCACAUCCUGGGGCUGAAGUAGGUCCCAAGGGUAUGGCUGUUCGCCAUUUAAAGUGGUACGCGAGCUGGGUUUAGAACGUCGUGAGACAGUUCGGUCCCUAUCUGCCGUGGGCGCUGGAGAACUGAGGGGGGCUGCUCCUAGUACGAGAGGACCGGAGUGGACGCAUCACUGGUGUUCGGGUUGUCAUGCCAAUGGCACUGCCCGGUAGCUAAAUGCGGAAGAGAUAAGUGCUGAAAGCAUCUAAGCACGAAACUUGCCCCGAGAUGAGUUCUCCCUGAGACUUAGAGUCUCCUGAAGGAACGUUGAAGACGACGACGUUGAUAGGCCGGGUGUGUAAGCGCAGCGAUGCGUUGAGCUAACCGGUACUAAUGAACCGUGAGGCUUAACCUUACAACGCCGAAG
rnacentral:rRNA from 1 species